UGGCCGAAAGGCUGAAGCAGCAACGCCGCGUGAAGGAUGAAGGCCUUUUGGUUGUAAACUUCUGUAGAGAGAGAGAAAACCCCCGCUCUGCGGGGAUUGAUAGUAUCUCUAGAGUAAGCCCCGGCUAACUACGUGCCAGCAGCCGCGGUAAUACGUAGGGGGCGAGCGUUGUCCGGAUUUACUGGGUGUAAAGGGUGCUCAGGUGGUUUUGUAAGUCAGAGGUGAAAUUUCGGGGCUCAACCCCGGACCUGCCUUUGAUACUGCAAGGCUUGUGUACGGAAGAGGCUGAUGGAAUUUCUGGUGUAGCAGUGAAAUGCGUAGAUAUCAGAAAGAACACCAGUGGCGAAGGCGGUCAGCUGGUCCGGUACAGACACUAAAGCACGAAAGCAUGGGGAGCAAACAGGAUUAGAUACCCUGGUAGUCCAUGCCCUAAACGAUGAAUACUAGACGUUGGGUGUAAAAACUCAGUGUCGGAGCUAACGCAUUAAGUAUUCCACCUGGGGAGUAC
rnacentral:rRNA from 1 species